UAAAACCACGUUAUGAUCCGGUACUACUCUCUCAGCAUGUCCUCUCACUGCCUUUUCUUUAUUUAUAGACCGCGCUGUGGACGUCUUUAACGCAAAACGCUCGCUUUUAAGCCAAAUGGCAUAACAAACUUUUCCAGCGGAUACACAGGCGAUUGCGAUGCACUGACUUCCCUUUAGCCAAGAAAGUUACUCUGAAACACUUCCAACCCCACCCCAAAGUCAGAGCACUUUCUCUCAUCAGAGCCUGGAAAUGCCGCGAUGAUGAUUAAUGCAACUCGACUAUCAUUCAGAGGCACCGAACUUCGCCCACCCGGGUGUACUUUGGCAUUUCCCAGCCGUCGCAAAGGGGAAAAAGCGCCUAUUCUGAGAUUAAAAAAAAAUAUAUUCGAUAGCCCGUGUUUGGUCCUGCAGUUUUUUUUUGGGUGAUGAUGAUGAUGAUGCAUGGAAGCGAUCCUAUCCGGAGAGGCGUGCUACGCGAGGAAGCAGCAAGGCGCUCUUCCGUAGUCCAGCGCUUUUGUAAAUGGUCGCUAUGCGGCUGAAACGGCAGCCUUGAAGUCUUACCUGCGUGUGUAACAGGGGAACGGCGGAGGUCAGAGCGACAUCGAUCCGAUGGGCUCGCGGAGGGACGGCGGCUGCUCGGGCUACGCGCGGGCGCUGACGAUCUGAAACCAUUCCAAGCCUUGGAGUGAUGCAUUGAUCUGGCCCUGAGUACUCCCCCGUGAGCUCAGUAGCCAUUUCCAGCUCAGCCUUCAAGCCCAGAGAGGAUUCCUGGUGCCCACCUCCAGUCCAUCUGGGCCAUUCUAACAAAUGAGUGCCCUCCUCAGUCCAAGGAGAGAUGAGUGUUCACUGUAUUGGAACAAGGUGGAUGUGAUGAAUAGGACCAAAAAUAUAUGGCAGGAUGCCUAAAUUACAUUAUGAAAUUUAUUGGAGUGGAGCAAGAGAAAGAAAAUGAGAAUGAUAGAGAAAGAAAUCAAUGUAUAGUUAGGGAAUUAAAGAAAAGCAGAUAUUUAAAGAGCUGGCAAAAUAAAGGAAGUAAGAAAUCGGCAGAGGAAAAGGGGAAAUGUACAGAAAAGGAGAGAGAGAGAGAGAGAGAGAGAGGGCACAAGAGAGCAAGGGAGAGUGAAACAGGACAGCCACUAUGGUAGAUGCAAUCAGGACAGUUAUUAAUCUCCAGGUUGAAGUGUUGGCAGUGGAGGAAAAUGCUGCUCAUCAACGCUGGAAUUGCUGUACCUGUGCAGCGCUGGAGAAAUGCAGGAGAGGACGGCUGUCUGCUGCCUCCAACCAUCACUCUGAGGACGAGAGGUCAGCAAGAAAACAACCGCUGUGGAGUGUGCAGCCCGAACCUCCGCCAUUGUCUCGCAGCCACAUAUGAGAAAGUUCUCCCUGUGCCUUUUGUCCUUGUGUCAGCAGGCAGGACAUUCUAAAUUAUUUUGCUCAGCUGCCUCCCUGAACUCUUGCUACGGCACGUCAACACACACAUCAUCCAGACACACACACACACAAUCAUAUUCUGGCACUGUGUGUGUGUGUGUGUGCUCUGUCCUAUCGUUCACCACAAACCUUCACUCAUACCCAUGCACACAGCUUACGUUGAUGCAUGCAGUUAUUCCUUUUGUCUGCUCGUCUGAAAUAUUUGUAGGAAGAUAAGAAGAGAAAAGCAGAAAAUAACAGGUGUAAUAAAAAAUAAUGAUUAAAAAAAUGAUUAGUCCCAUAACACACAUUUCACACAACAUUUGUAAAUGCGAUACACCUAAAAAAAAAAUGGAGUCAUUAUACACUAGCUGUUUGCUCUUCACUCACAUUACAGUCUGUAAAGUCAUAAUUAAGAACAGCAUUUAUCUAAAUGAAUUUCAACUGAUUAACCAGUAAAGCAGUAAUGACCGGAGCUGUGUACAUUGUGCAUCAGGCUCUAAUUUGAUAGGAAUGUGUUGCCAUGGUUGUUCCCCGAGCCACCCACCCCACCCCCCAAGCUGAAACUGUCCGUUUCCUCAGGAACAAGGUUAGGAGUUUAUCCAGUCACGUGACAUGCUGUUUUUUAACCUUCUGCCUGCAGACUCUUCUGUCAUCUCCCAUCACUUCAUCCGGGAUUUUUUUCCUUCCAUAGUAAACACAUGCUUUGGACAAAAAGCCAAGCAAUGUCUAACACUUUAGAUCAGUGUUUCAUGUAGAGGAUAAAUUGUCUUCACUGGGAACAAAUCACUUUGAUUCUCUCUUAUAGUCUUUAGAAAAUCUUUUUGUUAAACUAAACUAUAUGUACUGCUACUGAAAUGUUGUUGGCACUGUUAUGUGUUCUGUAUUAUUAAAGCAGAUGCAGUGUUAUAUAUCAUAUACCCUUAAACGAGGUUGCUACCUCUGCUGCUCCUGUCCUGUCUCACAAUCUUAUACCAACAACACACAUCUUUGUGCGAAUCACAAGCAGAUUUCCCCAAUACAUCCAUUUCCCAAUAAAGCAC